CUUUUAAAGGAUCAAAGUUAAUCCAU
rnacentral:tRNA from 1 species